rnacentral:rRNA from 1 species
UUCGCAAUGCCCGAAAGGGUGACGAAGCGACGCCGCGUGGGUGAGGAAGGCCCUCGGGUUGUAAAGCCCUGUCAGGAGUUAAGAAAUGUAAGUGCGCUAAUAUCGCAUUUAUUUGACGAAGGCUCCAAAGGAAGUCACGGCUAACUCUGUGCCAGCAGCCGCGGUAAUACAGAGGUGGCAAGCGUUGUUCGGAAUUAUUGGGCGUAAAGAGCACGUAGGUGGAUUUGCAAGUCAGAUGUGAAAGCCUUCUGUUCAACGGAAGAAUUGCAUCUGAAACUGCAGACCCUGAGUAUAGGAGGGGAGAAUGGAACUUCUGGUGGAGCGGUGAAAUGCGUAGAUAUCAGAAGGAACGCCGGCGGCGAAAGCGAUUCUCUGGCCUAUUACUGACACUCAGUGUGCGAAAGCUAGGGGAGCAAACGGGAUUAGAUACCCCGGUAGUCCUAGCCGUAAACGAUGGGCACUAAGUAGAGGGGUUUUA